rnacentral:rRNA from 1 species
UACGUAGGGGGCUAGCGUUGUCCGGAAUCAUUGGGCGUAAAGCGCGCGUAGGCGGCCCGGUAAGUCCGCUGUAAAAGUCAAAGGCUCAACCUUUGAAUGUCAGUGGAUACUGCCGGGCUAGAGUCCGGAAGAGGCGAGUGGAACUCCUGGUGUAGCGGUGGAAUGCGCAGAUAUCAGGAAGAACACCGACGGCGAAGGCAGCUCGCUGGGACGGUACUGACGCUGAGGCGCGAAAGCGUGGGGAGCGAUCCGG